GAUUUGAAGGAGUGGAGGGUGGAGAAAGAAGCCAUGCCUAGUCUUCAGAGAUUGCGCAUUGAAAGGUGCUACAAAUUGCGGGCAGUUCCAGAUGGGCUUCAGGAGAUUACUAUCCUCAAGGAAUUAACAAUUGACGAUAUGCCUAGUAGAUUCUGCAAUAGGUUUAGGGAAGGAGGAGAGGAUUUCUACAAAAUCAAACAUGUGCAUUCUCUUAUAAUAAAAAAUUAAUUGAAGACGACGAGCCAGAAAUGGAGGAAGCAGCGAGUGCUUCUCAAGUAGUUGCGGUUUCAGCUGGUGACUAAUUGACAAAUUGAAGCUCCUCCUCCUCCUGAUGAGAAAACAGAGGAAAUACAAACUUCAUCCACUCCUCAGUGAAAUCCACAAGUUCGACGUUGUUGCUCCGCUUGACCACAUAUAGAUACAAUAGAAUCAAACUGGAUCAGCAUCUGUAUUACUUGCUGCAGAUUACAACAGACGUGAACAAGGCUAAAGGCUUGAUUAUCAGAAUUUCCAGAUUACUUGCACAAGUGCUACUCAUGAUGGCCGAAUCCUAUACGGCCCCGCCUUUAAUUCUCCAUUGCCUCUCUUUCUUCUUCCACCGCAACAGCAGCUCUGUGUUUCUUCCCUCAGUCCCUCGUCGCUUUACACGGACCAGUCACACAGGUAUGUCUCUUUCUUCUAAAUUAUGCUUUCUUUCCUCACCCAUGCUUUCAAAUUAGAUUGGAAUACGUUUUUUAUUUAUCCUCUAAAUUUGACUUUUACGGUAUAAUUACUCAGUUAUGUUUACACUGUAAUUUGAUAUCCAGGUCUACAUUCUUUGGUCUUUUCUACCCUGCCCAUCUCAAACCCCUUU